rnacentral:misc_RNA from 1 species
AUUUACAUAUUUUCCUGGUGAUUCAGUUCUGAAACUUCUGAAUGAACUAUUGAAUUAUACAUCCCUUUUCUGUGAUUAUGAUUUGUGUGGUAUUAAUUUUUCUCCAUUGAUUCUUUUCAAUUUUGUACCUUGAAUUUGUAAAAGCUAGUUUUCUUUAAUUGGGUGCUGACUUUGUUUUUCUUUUCUACCCUUUUUGUUGUUUCAUUUUGCUUCUUGAACAUUUCAUGUAGGAUAUAUGAAUCAAUAGAUAAAGGUUGAUCCACCUCCAGUUUCUGAAUACAGAAUGUUUCAACUAAUUUACUGCAACUAUGAUUUAAAGGGACACUCUAUGCACUUGCUAUGUUGCUUUGAUAAUAAACUUGAAAGUGAUGAAGUGAUUGUUUCUGGCCAUGUGAUAAAUCCGUUUUCAUGAAUAAUAUGCUCCUGCUUGUUGUUAGUCUGUUGUGAUGGUGGUUAUUUUAUUGGAUGUCUAGUUGGCUUGAAUUCAAGUUUUAUCGCAAAGUAGCUUUUUGAUAAUGCUGACAAUUACCUAAAACAGACCUAAAGCAUUGUGUCUAGCUUGCAAAUUGCAAUGUUCACUUUGAAUUGAUACUAGUAUGACCGUAUGAGUGCUACUUCAUAUGGCAGGUUGA